AACACAUGCAAGUCGAACGGUAAGGCCCCUUCGGGGGUACACGAGUGGCGAACGGGUGAGUAACACGUGGGUAAUCUGCCCUGCACUUCGGGAUAAGCCUGGGAAACCGGGUCUAAUACCGGAUAUGAACUCCUGCCGCAUGGUGGGGGUUGGAAAGUUUUUCGGUGCAGGAUGAGCCCGCGGCCUAUCAGCUUGUUGGUGGGGUAAUGGCCUACCAAGGCGACGACGGGUAGCCGGCCUGAGAGGGUGAUCGGCCACACUGGGACUGAGACACGGCCCAGACUCCUACGGGAGGCAGCAGUGGGGAAUAUUGCACAAUGGGCGAAAGCCUGAUGCAGCGACGCCGCGUGGGGGAUGACGGUCUUCGGAUUGUAAACCCCUUUCAGUAGGGACGAAGCGCAAGUGACGGUACCUGCAGAAGAAGCACCGGCUAACUACGUGCCAGCAGCCGCGGUAAUACGUAGGGUGCGAGCGUUGUCCGGAAUUACUGGGCGUAAAGAGCUCGUAGGCGGUUUGUCACGUCGUCUGUGAAAUCCCUCGGCUUAACCGGGGGCGUGCAGGCGAUACGGGCAGACUUGAGUACUACAGGGGAGACUGGAAUUCCUGGUGUAGCGGUGAAAUGCGCAGAUAUCAGGAGGAACACCGGUGGCGAAGGCGGGUCUCUGGGUAGUAACUGACGCUGAGGAGCGAAAGCAUGGGUAGCGAACAGGAUUAGAUACCCUGGUAGUCCAUGCCGUAAACGGUGGGCGCUAGGUGUGGGGUCCUUCCACGGACUCCGUGCCGUAGCUAACGCAUUAAGCGCCCCGCCUGGGGAGUACGGCCGCAAGGCUAAAACUCAAAGGAAUUGACGGGGGCCCGCACAAGCGGCGGAGCAUGUGGAUUAAUUCGAUGCAACGCGAAGAACCUUACCUAGGCUUGACAUAUACAGGACGACGGCAGAGAUGUCGUUUCCCUUGUGGCUUGUAUACAGGUGUGCAUGGUUGUCGUCAGCUCGUGUCGUGAGAUGUGGUAGUCCCGCAACGAGCGCAACCCUGUCUCAUGUGCAGCACGUAUGUGGGGACUCGUGAGAGACUGCGGGUCACUCGAGAAGUGGGGAUGACGUCAAUCAUCAUGCCUUAUGUCUAGGCUCCACCAUGCUACAAUGGGCUUAGUACAAGAGGCUGCGAUACGGAAGGGGAGCCAAUCAUAAGCCUGGUCAGUCGGAUGGGGUCGCAACUUUGAACCAUGGAAUCCGGAAGGCCCUA
rnacentral:rRNA from 1 species